ensembl:lncRNA
CUUUUUUUUUUAAUUGGCUCAUUUGGUAUACAUUUUACUUUUACAUUGAAAUUCUGAGUUGGACUCGUUUUUUGGAAAAUAAUAAUUUAAAAGUGCUGUAUUCUUUUUCCGAAGUUCACUGUUUCUGUUCUUAGAAAUAAUUAUUACUUAGCCAAGUAUAAAAAGCUAAUUAUAAUAAGCUGUUUCUUGAAGUCUGUUGAUGUGAAGUCAUUAUUCUUGUGCUGAGGAAGGAGGUACAAAGGUUUGGCUCAGACACUGGACAACAAUAUUUCAGGCAGAAUGAAAGCGAGCAACCAAACGCUGGAAGCAGUUUCGGAGGGAAAUAAAAGCAUGUGGGAAAACUCCACACAUCCUGAUCAAAUAAAAUAAGCCUAAUCUAACCAGCUUGGCGACUUGGACGUUGAGUAACUCUGAGAGCAUCACCUGCGCAGUCAUCUGCAGCUGUGAUUUAUCCCGUUCUGCUGCGCUCAGGAAUUCCUGGGAACAGGGAGAACCGCGCCGGACUUCUUACUCAUCACCGGGACACGUGUUUGCAGAUGUGCUGCGUUCGCAGAACCAAGCGGCUUAAAAUGCGAGCGCUCUGCAUGUGCUUCCUUUCGUUUCAUCCCGUUUGUUUGGAGAGUUAUGUAAUUUACAUUUAGCUGAUGCUUUUCUCCGAAGCAACUUCAAUGUUAAUCUCCCUACAAUUAUUCACUCACUCAUUUUUAUAGCUGGGUAAUUUCUACAGGCUCAAGGGUACUACAAGAGGAGGUGAGGUGUGAAUCUGUAACCUUCAGGUCCAAAUGCUGCAGCUCUAACCACUACACUAGCAGCUCCAAGCUCUACGCUACCAGCUGUCCCGGUUUAUCCAGGAAAUUUCCUCGGCUGAAGGCGCAGCAGCUGGUUCUGCGCAUCACGUUGCCGUGGGAAACGAUCGAGAGCGUCGCUCUUUGCAGCGCAACGCACAAAUGCGUUGGCACAUCCUGGCACCUGACGGGGGCGCAUUUCAGACAUGUGCUAACGUUCCAGCAUGUUCCUCCCGCAAAAGCACAACCCUCUGUAGAUUUAAAGGCAGCAGAAAGGCGAACGGCUUUGGAAGCAUUAGGACACACGUUUUGGUUCUUUAAAAAAAAAAAAAAAGUAGACGAAGAAGGGGAGAACUACAAAGAGAAGCUGCGGCUGGAUGUCCCUCGUGAAAAGGGUGAAAAAAUAUCACAGCCACAGGAUGUGAGCCAGAGCGCUGGGCCCGCACGGUCGGAAGAGCCCGCAGCGACGAGCAGGCGGCAGCAGCCCUCUGAUAAAAAGGAGACCUCCAGGACAGACAGGAUGUCCCUCCACGCUGUAUAUGGACAUGAGAUUGAAACCUCAGUGCUGGGUUCAGCGUCCUUAGGCCUCCCCCAGAGCCCUGGUCAAGUUCCAUCCAGCUGGGGACUUCUGUCACUGCCCGCAGAACCAGAUUUUAGCCUUAGAGCAAAAUUAGUCAGCGGCUGCAGCUGGUUUCCUCAACAGCCAGUGUGUGUAUCUGCUGUGUUUGCUGAAUAAAACUAUGAAGAUAUGUGUUGACCACAUUGUAAGUGAAUUAUUAAAUUCAAAUUGUGGCCCAAGCAUAACUUCAUAAUUAGAAUUUUUGUCGCACCCUGUGCUUCCGAUCCUGCAUUAGACAGGCAGUGAAUGAGGAUGGACGGACAGAUUGAAGAAUGAAUUAAUGAAUAAUGAUAAAGUGAAGAACUAUUAUGUAACAGGUGGCACAGCGAGGAGCGCUGCUGUCUCAUAGUGCCUGCGUGGUGUGAGAGGACGUGAGUUCAAUUCCUG